rnacentral:rRNA from 1 species
GCAUUGGAACCACCUGAUCCCAUCCCGAACUCAGUAGUGAAACGAUGCAUCGCCGAUGGUAGUGUGGGGUUUCCCCAUGUGAGAGUAGGU